rnacentral:rRNA from 1 species
UACGUAGGGGGCAAGCGUUUGUCCGGAUUUAUUGGGCGUAAAGAGCGUGUAGGCGGUUAGGUAGGUCCGUUGUGAAAAACUCGAGGCUCAACCUCGAGACGCCGAUGGAAACCAUCUGACUAGAGUCCGGAAGAGGAGAGUGGAAUUCCUGGUGUAGCGGUGAAAUGCGCAGAUAUCAGGAAGAACACCCGUGGCUAAGGCGGCUCUCUAGUUACGUGACUGACGCUGAGACGCGAAAGCGUGGGGAGCGAACAGGAUUAGAAACCC